UAGCCAAGUGGUUACGGCGACAGAUUAGAAAUCUGUUCCUCUUUGAGGGCGCAGGUUCAAAUCCU